CACAAGCGGUGGAGUAUGUGGUUUAAUUCGAUGCAACGCGAAGAACUUACCUGGUCUUGACAUCCCGGAGACCCUUAGGAAACUAGGGGGUGCUUCCAUCUGGAAGAAUCUGGAGACAGGUGCUGCAUGGCUGUCGUCAGCUCGUGUCGUGAGAUGUUGGGUUAAGUCCCGCAACGAGCGCAACCCUUGCCUUUAGUUGCCAGCAGUUCGGCUGGGCACUCUAAAGGGACUGCCGGUGUUAAACCGGAGGAAGGUGGGGAUGACGUCAAGUCCUCAUGGCCUUUAUGACCAGGGCUACACACGUACUACAAUGGCCGAUACAAAGGGCAGCGACACUGCGAGGUGAAGCCAAUCCCGUAAAAUCGGUCUCAGUCCGGAUUGGAGUCUGCAACUCGACUCCAUGAAGUUGGAAUCGCUAGUAAUCGUGGAUCAGCAUGCCACGGUGAAUACGUUCCCGGGCCUU
rnacentral:rRNA from 1 species